rnacentral:rRNA from 1 species
AUGAUUCUAGAUGUUAGAUCCAAACCAAUUAACACCAUGUUUGAAGGGUUGAGGACCAAACUAAUGGUUAAGUACCAGGGCAUAAGAGAGAAAAUAGAGAGCUGUAGGUGGGAAAUAACCCCACAUUACAUGGAGAAGCUUGAAGAGAGCAAGAAGUGGGCUAAAUACUGUGAAGCAAACAUGGCUUGUCCCAGUAUGUGGCAAGUAACUAGUGGAGAGAACACAUAUUGUGUGAAGCUUGAUGAAGGGAGCUGCUCUUGCAGGAGAUGGGACAUGACUGGAUCACCUUGCCACCAUGCAAUAUCUGCAAUGCAGAAGAUAAAAGUUCACCCAGAAGAUUAUGUGCAUCCAUUCUUUAAGAAGCAAAUGUAUAAGGCUUCAUACCAGCACAUCAUCUACCCUGUCCCUGGUCCUGAAUUCUGA